UGUGAGGCAGCAACAUGCUCUCCUCUAGCAUGAGAAGUAAGAGCUCUACUGGAAGCAAUGAAGUGUGUCGAAGUCAUUGGGGCUAUACCUCGAUUGUUUCGGAGACAAACUCAACUUCUCGCAGUUUCUAACUCAGAGAAUGACAGAUGGUGGGAAAUGGAUCCAUGCCUGUGUUCUUGCAAUGAAAUCUCUCAUUAGUCAGUUCAAUCAAGUGUCCUUUGCUUUGGAGAAGAGAACUGCAAAUAGGGCAGCUGAUUUUUUAGCUAAAUUGUUGCUUAAGGCCUAAUCUUUUUUGUAAUUGGCUAAUAGGAUUAACUUUUUAUAUAAAUAUUUACCAUUUAACAUGUUGCAUUUAGAUUGGUUGUAUUAAGAAAGUCUG
rnacentral:lncRNA from 1 species